ACUUAUCCCGGAGGUGGAGAAGCUUCCAAGGGUAUGGCUGUUCGCCAUUUAAAAAGUUACGCGAGCUGGGUAAGGAUUCAUGAGCCCAGCUGAAGACAUUCUACGAGGUUAAAUAAGAGAAGAAAAAUAAACUGACUCAUAACGGUGAAGUCCCAAUGCUUAUCAUGUUAAAAUGAUGGGUAAUGGAUGAUAUCGUGGGAAGAUUGCAAUCAAAAUUUUCCUCACAUCAGAUAGAUGUGAUUAUAGGGUCAUUGCUUGGUGAUGCUCGGCUUGAAUGCCGAUCGAAAGGAAUACGAGCAAGUUAUACCGCUCGGUUCCGAGUGCAUCAUGGAGAGAAACAGAAAGAUUAUGUGAUCUGGAAAUACCAAAUGCUCAAAGAUUCAUAGAUGUGGUUACUCCAUAUGUACCAGAAGUAAUGUCUUAUAAGAUUGUCAAUUCCCGUAUCGACUUGCUCUCUGCAAAGAGGGCAGAGCCCACGACUUUAGUCGGGGCUAACACGUCAGUUUCAGGAUAGGAAAAUCUUGAAAAAGGUAUAGUCAGUACCAUUAGUAAUAAUGGAAUAAAAACGUCAGACCGUUCAGAACACAAGAAAUUGUGAAUUGGACAGUCUGAAUCACUUCGAACACUUUUCGUCUACGAAUAGAGAAAGAUAGACCAACCAAUCACGGCGGUUUCUUGUAGAAAUACAAGAGUACAAAGCUGAUUAAUAUCGGUGAAAUCCUAACAAGGGCAACACCGAGGGAAUUCUAAAUUAUUUAGAAGCCCGUAGAGACUAAACAUCAGGUAUCUUCACUCGUAAGAGAAAGAUAAAGUUAUAGUCCGUUCCUCGCAGUAAUGCGAGAUAACAAGAAGCGUGAGACAGGUCGGACCCCUAUCUACUGCAGGCGUUCGAUUCUUGAGGGGAUUUGACUCUAGUACGAGAGGACCGAGUUGAACCGACCUCUGGUGUACCUGCUGUCCUGCCAAGGGCACCGCAGGGUAGCUAAGUCGGGCACGGAUAAAUUCUGAAAGCAUCUAAGAAUGAAGCCAACCCCAAGAUUAGGAAUCGUUUGAGAGCCCUAGGAGAUGACUAGGUUGAUAGGCGCUAGGUGUAAGCAUCGUAAGGUGUUGAGCCGAGGCGUACUAAUUGCUCGAAUCCUAUUAGGAA
rfam:Candidatus Nomurabacteria bacterium RIFCSPLOWO2_01_FTLL_46_18 rifcsplowo2_01_scaffold_53751, whole genome shotgun sequence.